AACGAACGCUGGCGGCAGGCUUAACACAUGCAAGUCGAACGCGUGUAGCAAUACACGAGUGGCGCACGGGUGAGUAACGCGUGGAUAUCUGCCUUUUGGUUCGGAAUAACCCCGGGAAACUGGGGCUAAUACCGGAUGGUUCCUUCGGGAUAAAGAUUUAUCGCCAAAAGAUGAGUCCGCGUACGAUUAGCUAGUUGGUGAGGUAAUGGCUCACCAAGGCGACGAUCGUUAGCUGGUCUGAGAGGACGAUCAGCCACACUGGGACUGAGACACGGCCCAGACUCCUACGGGAGGCAGCAGUGGGGAAUAUUGGACAAUGGGGGCAACCCUGAUCCAGCCAUGCCGCGUGAGUGAUGAAGGCCUUCGGGUUGUAAAGCUCUUUUGGCGGGGACGAUGAUGACGGUACCCGCAGAAUAAGCCCCGGCUAACUUCGUGCCAGCAGCCGCGGUAAGACGAAGGGGGCUAGCGUUGUUCGGAAUUACUGGGCGUAAAGCGCGUGUAGGCGGUUGUUCAAGUCGGGUGUGAAAGCCUUGAGCUCAACUCAAGAAAUGCACUCGGUACUGGAUGACUAGAGGACCGGAGAGGAUAGUGGAAUUCCCAGUGUAGUGGUGAAAUACGUAGAGAUUGGGAAGAACACCAGUGGCGAAGGCGGCUAUCUGGACGGUUUCUGACGCUAAGACGCGAAAGCGUGGGGAGCAAACA
rnacentral:rRNA from 1 species